CCUACAGCUGAAAAGUGGGAGGUGAUCUGCUGCUGCCCCUGCAGCCUUCAGCUGGGAGAAGCAACAGCCCCUUGUUUACCUUGGAAGCAUUGCUAUGCAUCAGAAUGUCUCCUGCUCCCAGGUCCUUCUGGUGAUGGGUGUUUCCAGGGUCUGGAUAACUGCCUCCCUGAAAAAGAGUCCUGCAUGCCACCUUAGCAGGUGGCAUUGUUUGUUUGUCUGAAGACCAUCUGAAGAGGAACAACAGGGAUGUUGCAAGACAGAGUUUAGAAGAACUGGACAGUGCAAGGAGUAUUUGGCUUAGCUGUCUGCUCUCUGUCUGGAAUAGCUGUGUGAACCCCAUAUCCUGGACUUUGGGGUAUAGGAUGGGUGUCCCUGUAGUAUUUCUUGUCUGUCUUUACGUACUGUUGAGUGAACUUUGCAGUCUGGAGCUCUACAAAAAGCUUUGGUGAUACACUGUAGAAGCAAACAAAAGAUACUUUUCUUUGUCUAAUAUUAUGCUACUGAAAUAGCUUUUUCAGUGACUUUUGAA